rnacentral:rRNA from 1 species
CCUUCGGGGUUUUACUUAGUGGCGAACGGGUGAGUAACGCGUGAGCAACCUGCCUCUUUAAGGGGGAUAACAACCGGAAACGGUUGCUAAUACCGCAUAAGACCACACUGUCGCAUGACAGAGAGGUCAAAGGAGCAAUCCGCAGAGAGAGGGGCUCGCGUCCCAUUAGGUAGACGGCGGGGUAACGGCCCACCGUGCCGACGAUGGGUAGCCGAGCUGAGAGGCUGAUCGGCCACACUGGAACUGAGACACGGUCCAGACUCCUACGGGAGGCAGCAGUGGGGAAUAUUGGGCAAUGGGCGAAAGCCUGACCCAGCAACGCCGCGUGAGGGAAGAAGGUCUUCGGAUUGUAAACCUCUGUCCUUGGUGACGAAGGAAGUGACGGUAGCCAAGGAGGAAGCCCCGGCUAACUACGUGCCAGCAGCCGCGGUAAUACGUAGGGGGCGAGCGUUGUCCGGAAUUACUGGGCGUAAAGGGUGCGUAGGCGGUGGAUUAAGUUGGAUGUGAAAUACCCGGGCUUAACUUGGGGGGUGCAUCCAAUACUGGUUCACUAGAGUGCAGGAGAGGAAAGCGGAAUUCCUAGUGUAGCGGUGAAAUGCGUAGAUAUUAGGAGGAACACCAGUGGCGAAGGCGGCUUUCUGGACUGUAACUGACGCUGAGGCACGAAAGUGUGGGGAGCAAACAGG